rnacentral:rRNA from 1 species
CCUACGGGGGGCUGCAGUGGGGAAUAUUGGACAAUGGGGGGAACCCUGAUCCAGCCAUGCCGCGUGUGUGAAGAAGGCCCUCGGGUUGUAAAGCACUUUCAGUGAGGAAGAACGCCUGGUGGUUAAUACCCAUCAGGAAAGACAUCACUCACAGAAGAAGCACCGGCUAACUCCGUGCCAGCAGCCGCGGUAAUACGGAGGGUGCGAGCGUUAAUCGGAAUUACUGGGCGUAAAGCGCGCGUAGGUGGUUUGAUAAGCCGGUUGUGAAAGCCCCGGGCUCAACCUGGGAACGACAUCCGGAACUGUCAAGCUAGAGUGCAGGAGAGGAAGGUAGAAUUCCCGGUGUAGCGGUGAAAUGCGUAGAGAUCGGGAGGAAUACCAGUGGCGAAGGCGGCCUUCUGGACUGACACUGACACUGAGGUGCGAAAGCGUGGGUAGCAAACAGGAUUAGAUACCCGUGUAGUC